AGAGAGCUUCAAUAAUGUCAAGCAAUGGUUGAGUGAGAUAGAUCGAUAUGCAAGUGAUAAUGUGAACAAACUUCUUGUUGGAAACAAGUGCGAUCUCACAGCUCAGAAGGUGGUUUCCACAGAGACUGCUCAGGCUUUUGCUGAUGAGAUCGGCAUCCCUUUCAUGGAAACUAGUGCAAAAAAUGCCACCAACGUAGAGCAGGCUUUCAUGGCUAUGGCUGCUUCAAUCAAGAACAGAAUGGCAAGCCAACCGGCAUCAAACAAUGCACGACCUCCAACCGUGCAGAUCCGAGGACAACCUGUCAACCAAAAGAGCGGUUGCUGCUCAUCUUGAAAGGACGAAGCUCGAUGAUGAUUCUGAUGUGGAAUGUAAAAUUAGUCUCUCUUGAUGGCUUGAUAGGAAGACUCUUCACUGUUAUUACUUUCUUUCAACUCUUUAUCGACACUCAAUUCUUUUCAAUCUAUUUGGAUUAACAAUAUGUAGAAAAUCUAGGAAUAUUGGUGAAUACUAGUAUUUGCUUUCUAUUCUUUGGACCUUCAUCAAAAUGAUUUUAUCUGCA
rnacentral:misc_RNA from 1 species